rnacentral:rRNA from 1 species
UACGUAGGGGGCGAGCGUUGUCCGGAUUUAUUGGGCGUAAAGAGCUUGUAGGCGGCUCAGUAAGUCGGGUGUGAAAACUCCAGGCUCAACCUGGAGACGCCACCUGAUACUGCUGUGGCUAGAGUCCGGUAGGGGAGCAUGGAAUUCCUGGUGUAGCGGUGAAAUGCGCAGAUAUCAGGAGGAACACCAGUGGCGAAGGCGGUGCUCUGGGCCGGAACUGACGCUGAGGAGCGAAAGCGUGGGGAGCAAACAGG